GGAGGCGUGCCGGAGUGGUUGAACGGGCUCGUUUCGAAAACGAGUAUCGGGGAAACUCGAUCGCAGGUUCGAAUCCUGCCGCCUCCG
rnacentral:tRNA from 1 species